UCUGUGAUCUGGACACAGAUAAUGUGACCCCACCCUCAGAAAAGCGUAAACUCCAGAUGAAGAGAUCAAACUCACCAGAACCCAGCUGUGUCUCCAUGAAGAGUGAUCGGUCUAUGGAUCCUCCUUGGAGGUUUAACAGUGGAAACCCCUCAUCUGUCCACAGUAAACUCCAGAUGAAGAGAUCAGACUCACCAGAACCCAGCUGUGUCUCCAUGAAGAGUGAUGCAUCUAUGGAUCAUCCUUUGAAGUUUAACA